UUUAUUUACAUCUUGAAACAAUAUGAGCUUCGCUAAUUUUCUUUACUUCAUUGCGAUUAUAGUUCAAGGAUGUAGGGCUCCGGCUUGUUUUAGCAGGAUGAAAUUAGAACCGGAUAAUUAAAUCUUACCUCAGUUGAUUUAGAUUUAUUACUUCCUAUAAUAAAUUUCCUAUAUACAUUUGACUAAUAA
rnacentral:sRNA from 1 species